GGAGCAUGUGGUUUAAUUCGAUGCAACGCGAAGAACCUUACCUGGGCUUGACAUCCCGGGAAUCCCCUGGAAACAGGGGAGUGCCCUUUCGGGGAACCAGGAGACAGGUGCUGCAUGGCUGUCGUCAGCUCGUGUCGUGAGAUGUUGGGUUAAGUCCCGCAACGAGCGCAACCCUUAUCUUUAAUUGCCAGCAUUCAGUUGGGCACUUUAAAGAGACUGCCGGUGUUAAACCGGAGGAAGGUGGGGAUGACGUCAAGUCCUCAUGGCCUUUAUGCUUAGGGCUACACACGUGCUACAAUGGGUGGUACAAAGAGAAACCAACUCGCGAGAGCGCGCCAAUCUCAAAAAGCCAUCCUCAGUUCGGAUUGGAGUCUGCAACUCGACUCCAUGAAGUUGGAAUCGCUAGUAAUCGCGGAUCAGCAUGCCGCGGUCGAAUACGUUCCGGGCCUU
rnacentral:rRNA from 1 species